CUAUUGCAAAAUGUGCUUUUCUUUUUACUCUCCUUGUGUGGGCAUUUAAGGCUGCUCUAGUGGCAGUGGGGCUGGCUCAGCAUAUCCGUGUCAGUCACUUUCCUCGCAUUUCUAAGUGUACUUUUGUGGCAUUUAAGCAGCCGACGGUGACAUUGGUGUUGAUCGGUGCGGCUUCUCCAGCCCACACCGAGAGAAGGCACUGGGAGGGACCCAGGAGGGCACGGAGGUGUUUUAAGGUCCUUCCUCUCCUGCCAGACAGCACCUUUUGAUGUUGCUUUUUGUUUUGUUUCGCAAAACAGGGGAAUAGUGGCUUGAGGACUCUGCUUUCUGCCUUGUGCCAAAGAACCACAGAUGCUGCUUUUAUUUUAUUUUUAUUUUUUUGGUAAGACUUGCUGUGAGGACUGAGAUAUUGCAGCUUUUAUUUUUUUUAAAAAAAGAACCAUUUCCUUUUCUUUUAAAUAUAUAUGUGAUCAUUUAACACACUGGUGUUAAAUUCACUCUUGCCGCAAAAGAAGGCCAUUGGUACUUCCUGACCCUGAAAGCAAGGUCAUUGGUGCCAGACAGCAGACUGCACGCUGGAAGUCUUUCUGUAUCGCAGGCCAAAGGCUGGUAAUCUCCCCGGGCAAUGCUGAGAUAACACAUGUCAAGAGGCAGCAGUGGCUGGUGCAUCUCCAUUCAUAAUCUGGCCAACAGACCGUCCUGGAGGAUAGAGAUAUUAUCUGCCUUUGUGUUGAUUCACUGCUUUUCCUCCACCUCCUCCCAAAGAAGACAAGAUCCUUGAGAACAAAAACUUGUCUGCCUUCUCCUGCCUGUACCUCCAACACCUCGAACAAUGCCUGCCAGGUUAGUUGGUGCUUAAUAAAUCUUUGUGAAACGAAUGAAUGAA
rnacentral:lncRNA from 1 species